rnacentral:lncRNA from 1 species
ACUGGAUAGCAAAGAUCUUUCAAUAUUCAAGGUUCAUAUUCAGGUUCACCCAUGGUGGGCUUAAAGUCUACUAGACUCGAUGCAAAGUUUGGAUCUAUUCUCACUAAUCGAUCAGAUAUCUUUGUCCAAGAAGAAAUUUGAGAAUUUUUAGUUAUUUUUGUAAUUUUUUUUCUUAAGGGAAGAGGAAAGAGAGAUAGAUAAGAAAA